rnacentral:rRNA from 1 species
GAUGAACGCUGGCGGCGUGCUUAACACAUGCAAGUCGAACGGUGAAGGCGGAGCUUGCUCUGCUGGAUCAGUGGCGAACGGGUGAGUAACACGUGAGCAAUCUGCCCCUGACUCUGGGAUAAGCGCUGGAAACGGCGUCUAAUACUGGAUACGAGCUGCGAAGGCAUCUUCAGCAGCUGGAAAGAACUUCGGUCAGGGAUGAGCUCGCGGCCUAUCAGCUUGUUGGUGAGGUAACGGCUCACCAAAGCGUCGACGGGUAGCCGGCCUGAGAGGGUGACCGGCCACACUGGGACUGAGACACGGCCCAGACUCCUACGGGAGGCAGCAGUGGGGAAUAUUGCACAAUGGGCGAAAGCCUGAUGCAGCAACGCCGCGUGAGGGACGACGGCCUUCGGGUUGUAAACCUCUUUUAGCAGGGAAGAAGCGAAAGUGACGGUACCUGCAGAAAAAGCGCCGGCUAACUACGUG